rnacentral:tRNA from 1 species
GGGAAUGUGGCUAAGUGGUAAAGUGCUUGCCUAGCAUGCAUGAAGCCCUGGGUUCGAUUCCUCACUACCU